rnacentral:rRNA from 1 species
AACGCGAAGAACCUUACCUGGAUUUGACAUCUUCUGACAAACGUAGAGAUACGUCUUUCGUAGCAAUACGACAGAAAGACAGGUGCUGCAUGGCUGUCGUCAGCUCGUGUGGUGACAUGUUGGGUUAAGUCCCGCAACGAGCGCAACCCUUGUCCUUAGUUGCCAGCAUUCAGUUGGGCUCUCUAAGGAGACUGCCGUGGUUAACACGGAGGAAGGUGGGGAUGACGUCAAGUCCUCAUGGCCUUUAUAUCCAGGGCGACACACGUGAUACAAUGGACGGUACAGAGGGAAGCGAAGGGGCGACCUGGAGCCAAUCUCAAAAAGCCGUUCUCAGUUCGGAUUGGAGUCUGCAACUCGACUCCAUGAAGUUGGAAUCGCUAGUAAUCGCGGAUCAGCACGCCGCGGUGAAUACGUUCCCGGGCCUUGUACACACCGACAUA